GUGUGACUGCGUACCUUUUGUAUAAUGGGUCAGCGACUUAUAUUCUGUAGCAAGGUUAACCGAAUAGGGGAGCCGAAGGGAAACCGAGUCUUAACUGGGCGUUAAGUUGCAGGGUAUAGACCCGAAACCCGGUGAUCUAGCCAUGGGCAGGUUGAAGGUUGGGUAACACUAACUGGAGGACCGAACCGACUAAUGUUGAAAAAUUAGCGGAUGACUUGUGGCUGGGGGUGAAAGGCCAAUCAAACCGGGAGAUAGCUGGUUCUCCCCGAAAGCUAUUUAGGUAGCGCCUCGUGAAUUCAUCUCCGGGGGUAGAGCACUGUUUCGGCAAGGGGGUCAUCCCGACUUACCAACCCGAUGCAAACUGCGAAUACCGGAGAAUGUUAUCACGGGAGACACACGGCGGGUGCUAACGUCCGUCGUGAAGAGGGAAACAACCCAGACCGCCAGCUAAGGUCCCAAAGUCAUGGUUAAGUGGGAAACGAUGUGGGAAGGCCCAGACAGCCAGGAUGUUGGCUUAGAAGCAGCCAUCAUUUAAAGAAAGCGUAAUAGCUCACUGGUCGAGUCGGCCUGCGCGGAAGAUGUAACGGGGCUAAACCAUGCACCGAAGCUGCGGCAGCGACGCUUAUGCGUUGUUGGGUAGGGGAGCGUUCUGUAAGCCUGUGAAGGUGUACUGUGAGGUAUGCUGGAGGUAUCAGAAGUGCGAAUGCUGACAUAAGUAACGAUAAAGCGGGUGAAAAGCCCGCUCGCCGGAAGACCAAGGGUUCCUGUCCAACGUUAAUCGGGGCAGGGUGAGUCGACCCCUAAGGCGAGGCCGAAAGGCGUAGUCGAUGGGAAACAGGUUAAUAUUCCUGUACUUGGUGUUACUGCGAAGGGGGGACGGAGAAGGCUAUGUUGGCCGGGCGACGGUUGUCCCGGUUUAAGCGUGUAGGCUGGUUUUCCAGGCAAAUCCGGAAAAUCAAGGCUGAGGCGUGAUGACGAGGCACUACGGUGCUGAAGCAACAAAUGCCCUGCUUCCAGGAAAAGCCUCUAAGCAUCAGGUAACAUCAAAUCGUACCCCAAACCGACACAGGUGGUCAGGUAGAGAAUACCAAGGCGCUUGAGAGAACUCGGGUGAAGGAACUAGGCAAAAUGGUGCCGUAACUUCGGGAGAAGGCACGCUGAUAUGUAGGUGAAGUCCCUCGCGGAUGGAGCUGAAAUCAGUCGAAGAUACCAGCUGGCUGCAACUGUUUAUUAAAAACACAGCACUGUGCAAACACGAAAGUGGACGUAUACGGUGUGACGCCUGCCCGGUGCCGGAAGGUUAAUUGAUGGGGU
rnacentral:rRNA from 1 species